GUCAAUAUACUGUACUAAUGGGAAAUGUAAAAAAAAAAGAAAGAAAAUAAGAAAACCAAACAAAUUAAAUGCAUUUGCUAAAAUAUUAUAUAAUAUUAUGUAUUAUAUUUAGAUAACAGAAUUGUUGGCAAGUAAACAAUUGUCUAAAAUUUUGAUCAAGCAACAUGACCAGCAACUGUGAGAAAGAGAGCAUCACUCUUGUCUCUGUGAGGACAAUAAACACUGAAAACUAUACAGAUUCUCCCCAGACGUCUUCAGUUCACAGCACUACACUGGACAAUGAGGACCAAGAAUUUACUAGAGACGGGAGACGGACUGUGAUUUCACUCAGUUCAUAGUGCAUGAGAUUGGAGGCUGCAUACUAUAUUUAAUGUUAAGUGAAUGUGAACUAAUGUGCCUCUAGCUGAUGGCCAGUGUGCAGAUCACAAAUCAUGCUUAUGACCUACAUUGGUGCACUGCAUAUAAAAUGAUCCCUAUAUCAGACAUUCUCUCAUAUAUUCAACAUGACACAUACUUCAUUGAUAAAUAAACUGUCACUUUUGUGUUCAUA